GAUUUGCCUUGACGCGUCCCAAACCCGGGAUUAACUUGUUUUUAUGUCGCCAUAUCGACGCUCCAUCUCUCCCAGCGGGUGCUCGGCGAGCGGACCCGCAGCUGUCGGAAGAUUGGCGGGCUGAGCGCGCGGGAGGACAUGGAGGAGCUGGCAGGUCACGCGGAGCGAGCGCAGGCGUCCCGCUGAGGGUCCGGAGCCCGGGCGCGCAGAUGGGGGCCGACGGCAGCCGGCACAGCAAGGUAACACUCCUGGAUGAGGGGUGACGCGCGGUGCCAGCGAGAGGGAAUCCCGGUUUCCAUGGAGAUCCGCGGGGCUGCUGCGUGUUGCGUUCACGGUCCUUCUGAAAUGAUUCGACUGCAUUAGAGAUCCUUUAUGUGUCUGGAGCCGUUUCAAUUGGAACCCUGGGGUCUUGAGCGAUGGUCUGGGUGAGGGAGAAGGUGUGACCUUUGACUCCUCCCGGUGAGAAUCAGGAGGCACUUCAGAGCGCUGGUGCACUGGAUGACGGAGGUGGAGACACUGAGAUGUUUGUCCUCAAGGCAGCUGUGUCGAUGUCUCCAGAGGUCUGCUGAGGGCGGGGAGGACUUCCCGUCCGGGUGGCGAGGCCUCCUCUCCAGCGUGGGCCUGUCCAUCCCGGCCAGCAUCUGCCGGCUGGCCUCUCCGGCGCUGCGCCUGGGUCGGCGCCGCAUGCUGGAGGCCAAGCCCCCCGACAUCCCGGAGCACGUGCUGAGGCUGGCGGGGGUCGGGCCGGGCAAGCUGCGGGCGGAGUGGAGUCUCCCCAGCUUCGUGGCCAUGUUCCUGCCGGAGUUCCCCCACAGAACCGUGCCGGGACACGAGCACUUCCAGGUGCUGGGCUACAUCGCCAAGGGGUCCUUCGGCCCCAUCCUCAAGGUCAAGGACACGGCCAAGCAGAAGACCUACGCUGUCAAAGUGAUUCCCAAGUCGGAGAUCCUCAGACUCGGGGUGCUGGAGCAGUCCAAAGAGGAGGUGAUCGUCCAGCGUCAGAUCCGCCACCCAUUUAUCCACGAGCUGCAGGACUGUUGGCAGACCCAGCGCCACGUCUACAUUAUGUGUGACUACUGCAGCACCGGGGACCUGUACACCUACUGGCAGAUGAUCGGCCAGUUCUCCGAGGACACGGUGCGCGUCUUCGCCGCCGAGCUGGGCUGUGCGCUGGGGUUUCUUCACGACUUUGGAGUGGUCCACAGAGACGUGAAGAUGGAGAACAUCCUGCUGAGCGACAGCGGACACCUGCGCCUGACCGACUUCGGUUUGUCCCGUCGGCUGGAGCGUGGAGGACGGGCCUUCACCAUCUGUGGCACCAUCCAGUACAUGGCCCCUGAGGUGCUGAGCGGGGGCCCCUACAACCACGCAGCUGACUGGUGGUCCUUAGGAAUCCUGCUGUUCUCGCUGGUCACCGGGAAGUUCCCCCUGACUCCAGAGGCGGACCACUGCAGCAUGCUGAGGAAGGUCCGCUCCUGCCCCUACGAGAUGCCGCUGGAGCUCAGCUCCCCCCUGGCCUUGCUGAUAACCGAGCUGCUCUGCAAAACCCCCUGCCGUCGCCUCCGGACGCUGGAGCGCUUCCAGCGCCAGACCUUCUUCCUCGGAUCUUCUUUUGACCUGGACCUGUUGCAGCGACAGCCAGUCGAGGUGAUCCUGCAGCUACGGGAGCGGCCGGAUCGUGCUGCCAAGGCUCGGCGGGGUCUGACUCUGUCGCUCCAGCCGCUGAAAGGGUUCGACUACGACUCGCUGCUCAGCCCCACCAACACUCCUGAGCCCCAGCUGGACGCCCCUCUGCCAGGCCCCGGCUUCCAGCUGCAGCACGGCCAGGGCAGGAGGAGCCCUCAGAGGGAGGUGUUUGUGUGACACCCUGCUGGCACCCGUGCGCCCUGGCUCUGACCUGCUGGCUCCUUUCAGUCACUGCCCCUCAGCUCCUCACUGUUUGCCAGUGCCUGAGCCGCGCCACAGACUGAUCUGCUUCCCUCAGGAAAGCUCAGACAGCUGACCCCCCACUGGCCUCAGCACGCUCCAGCUUCACUUCCCUCGGGUGACGAGAUCUGAAGCUCCACCACAGCGUCUCCGGGGUCCCCCUCAUCUCACCCUCCUCCAGCACCAGUUCUUCUCCUGGAUCCUGAAAACACCAACCUACCUCUGACCCCGUAGUCCUGGAGAGAGGAACCUGCCCCUCCCUCGACCAUGUGAUGUUUAGUCACCCCACCUCUCAUCCACACGUCUCCGUCAAACUCCUGGCUCACCAUCUUUUGGGUCCUGAGCAGGAGGUUGAUACUUGUUUGUCCUCCAGUCCAUCCAACGCUGAGGAGGCUCUGGAUGCUUCCCCCACUGCUCCCACCACAGACAUCAAAGUGUCACCAUCUCAUCGGCCCUUUAGACCCUUGUGUUGCUGUCCCGCUUCUGAGUCCUCUGGAUCUGACCUGGGCGUCCAAGCUCUCCCAGGACUGGAAGAAGAACCGGCCCCUAGAGCCAGUCUCAUGGGUUUAAAAACAUCAGUGGCCCAAAAGAAAGAUGGCGUGGCUGCGUUUAGUGCAGAAAGUCUGUGUUUCCCCUCCUCCUCUUGUUCUGCCUUGGCUCCCUGUGCGUGCCCUCCUCUCGCCGCUGUGUUUGCGCGCCUGUUGUGCAAGACAGACAACACCAUUGUUGGCUGCUCACCAGCUCCUUGCUACAUUCACCUGCUAUCACGUUCACCCCUCACGGAAAAGUCAAGCGAGUGGAAGACAAAGCUCUUGUCCAGCUGGUAUUUGUGGGAACAAAAGAGGUGAUUUCUGUUGCAUGUGUACCAUACAGAACAUUCCUUCUCCGAGAAGCUCAAACCUCAGGCUAGACGUCCUCCUCAAGAAAGUCCUCCUUUUCUAGAAGCAUUUUAUGGAAAACUAAAUGUGUAGUCUCUUCCUGAGCUUGAGACGAGGACGAUUUCGUACGUCCUACGUUCCCUGAAUGCCUCACAAGAGUGGCCCUGAAUAUGCUUUUAUGUCACCAAAUCCUUAUUGAUAAAUUCCUAUUUAUAAUAUUUAUACAAAUAUUUUGGAUGCUGUUUGAUGUCAACUGUCCUGUUUGUAUUUUUGUACGUAACACAACCAGAAUAAAAGGCCUGUACCUGCGGUGAGGCUCUUUUUUUUUUUUUUUUUUUUUUUUGAGAGCAUGUGAACGACGGUUCCGCUCAGAUUCUUCUGGCCUCUGGAGUUGGCCUUGUCUUGAGUGGAGAGGUUCUAAAAGGGACCUGGCCCUGCUCCUCAAAGCUCUCGCUCCCAGCCAAAGACUGUGAGCGAGCAUUAGUGAUGUAGCUGAGCGUCAGAUUACUCUGUUGAAACAUUUACGCAGCUCCUGUGAAGCUGCGCCCAACUAUGAAACGCAACUGUCCCAGAAGAAUCUUCCUUCCUCAGAGACACAGCCACGACGAGGAGGUCACAGGCGACACGGUUUGGACCUGAUCGUCCUCCUCCACCUCCACGUGUGGAGUCGCUGGAUGAUGCUCGGAGCAGGUGGAAGCACGAGAGGACACCAAGCAAUGAGAUGUGUACGAGCGUCAGGUCGCUGCUUCAGCACAGUGGAACAGCCUCGUCACAGCAGAUGCAGACUCACGCUGCACUCCCACUUUGAGAGCGGAUCCACGAAGACGCAUGCGCAGAACACCCGCGUCUCGUCAUGUGACGCGA